GAGUAAUGUCUGGGAAACUGCCUGAUGGAGGGGGAUAACUACUGGAAACGGUAGCUAAUACCGCAUAACGUCGCAAGACCAAAGAGGGGGACCUUCGGGCCUCUUGCCAUCGGAUGUGCCCAGAUGGGAUUAGCUAGUAGGUGGGGUAAUGGCUCACCUAGGCGACGAUCCCUAGCUGGUCUGAGAGGAUGACCAGCCACACUGGAACUGAGACACGGUCCAGACUCCUACGGGAGGCAGCAGUGGGGAAUAUUGCACAAUGGGCGCAAGCCUGAUGCAGCCAUGCCGCGUGUAUGAAGAAGGCCUUCGGGUUGUAAAGUACUUUCAGCGGGGAGGAAGGGAGUAAAGUUAAUACCUUUGCUCAUUGACGUUACCCGCAGAAGAAGCACCGGCUAACUCCGUGCCAGCAGCCGCGGUAAUACGGAGGGUGCAAGCGUUAAUCGGAAUUACUGGGCGUAAAGCGCACGCAGGCGGUUUGUUAAGUCAGAUGUGAAAUCCCCGGGCUCAACCUGGGAACUGCAUCUGAUACUGGCAA
rnacentral:rRNA from 1 species